UUGAAGAAAUAAUUCUGUCUUAGGGUUCCUACAUGUCUUUUAUAUUUCCAACCAUCAGUGCACUUUCAGGGAACCACAGAUUUAUUUUAUGGAUAGAGCGGGAGGAACAGGGAGUCCUGUUACUGAGCAGGUGUGGUGGCAGAUUAGUGAGGGAUCUAUUGCUCAGUUUAAUUCCAGCAGCACUCCUCUCUGAACCAUCAGCUACUAUCUGUUUCUGUCCUUUCCAUCUCCAUUCAUGCCCACCUGUAAAGCAACGUUAGUAUUUUUUUCUUAGACGUGUAGGUACUUUGGGAGCGUUAUCAUGAAAAAUGGAUGAAACAUUAGACCAAUUGUAUGAUCAAAGGUAAGAGCUUCAGAGAUAAAGUUUCUUGCCUGCACACAUGCAUUUUUGGGAAUAAAGGCCUGGCUGAAUAUCCUAUUGCUUACUAGCAAAUGUUUUGCCUCAAUGUCAAUGCCAGAAUUUUAAUUGCCUUUCUCUCUGACAUUAGAUAUGUAGUCUAAGAAACUGAUGUUGCACUGCAGCUGGAGGCUGACAUGAGACUGAAGUGACACAUCCUUUGCCGUGGAAUAUUUGUCUCCAGCUGUUCCUUCGUGGGGUGGGUUACGGAGACUGCACCUGUGUGCGCUGGGGUAGCAGCAGCCUGGGAGGAUUCCCUGCCAUAACAUUUGUCUGUGAAACACAUACUUUCUCCCUGAGGAAAUUGGCUUAUGUCAACAAAAACGGAAACUUCAAAAAAUCUGCGUAGUGCUGGGAAAAGCUAAGUAUCUUUGCUCUUAAAUGUGUGGGGUGAUUAAUUUUGUGUGCCAUAUUCCUCACACACACAUUCUUCUUCUUUUGCCAAAAGCUGAAUGUAAUUGGCAGUCUAUGAAUGUCCAUAGUUGCCAGACAGCUUAAAAUUGAAACACUGUGAAAUGCAAACAAAUGGAAAUGUUUCUCUCUUGUGUAAAUAUGCAAGAAUUAUUAAGCAUUAAAUACCGCCUGCAAAGAGAAUCAUUUAAGAUGGUCAAAGAUGAACCCGAGUUUGUUCUUGUGUACACACCUGGAGUAGGAGUCGGGUUCAAGUGGCCUGGACAAGAGGAUUCUGCCCUACAAACUGAAUUUGCACCCCCUUUUUUGGUUAGUGAUGCAGCAGCUUCCUAAAAUAGCUGUAGUAAGAUGUAAUCCUUCACACAGAUACCCUCACAUGAGAGUAACUUAUAUUCAUAUAACUUACAUUUUUUCCAGAUGGAAGUAAAUCACAUUGAUCUGAAAUACUAUUUCUGUUGAUGUAGAUGUGUCCACACUGGGAAAGGUGAGGCUUAGCUAGGUAGGCAGAACACAAGCAGCUUGUGUAUACCAAGAAGCUCCUGGAUGAGUGGGGACAUAAUGAGUCCUGCUGGUAUUCUUAUUGUCAGGGCAUUGGUGGCCUGCUUCAGUGAAGGAAAAUUACUUGUAUGCACCUUUGUUUGUUCUCUCACUCCCUUGCAUUUUCUUUUUUUUAUUUUCAGAUACACCUUAGCUACAACAGGGCAAAGUGCAAAGGAGCUUCAGAAGCUCAGGCAAUGAGGAAUCUGUUGGUAUCUUUGCUGAAAGUCUGCCAGCACAGGGAAAAGAUACACUCUUCCCUCGCUAUCGGUUCCACAGUCCAGAGAGUCACCACGCCUUUCCCUGACAAUCUACUUCUGGUCACUAAGGGAAGCUGGAUGAUCAUUUCAGUGAGUAUUUCUUCAUCCCAAAAUGCUGGGUGAUGGGUUACUUGCUUUGUCCUUUUGAUCUCAUGCUUUAGAUCUGGGUGGUAAAUCUCAUUAUUAUGGUGCCAGGGGAUGGGGAUGGAGAUGCUGUUUUGCCUGAAAGUAUGGGUGAGCAGCCAUUCCCCAAAAUGGCUAUACUGAUAAACACACAACAUCACAAUUAGCAGUACAUAUGCCACCCCAACUGCAGUGAUAUAUGUGUAUCCUCAACCUUCCACAGCUGGCUUGGCCACUGAGGAGAGCGCUGUGGCUCCCGGAAUCCCCAGGUAGCGGCCACUUCACUUGCCAUUCACUGCCUCUUCGUUGCAAAUGUUUUGCAGAGUCACAGAAUAGUUGAGGAUGGAAGAGAACCAAUUCUCCACCUCCCUGGGUGUCUCCAAAAGCCCCACUUGGAGCUGGGGAGCCUUUAGGCUUCCACUGAACUCCAGCAUAAGGUGUCUCCUUUUGAAGGGUAAAAGUAGAGACAAACAUGCCCCAGACCAGACCUCCCACUCAUACUUAACUUUGACAGUCACACAGAAUGGAUGAAAGGCUGUAUAGAUCCUGGCGGUCACCCUUCAAAUUAGCAAGUGUCUCUGAAAGUUUUCCCUUGUAGGAAACCUCUCCACAAGCCUGGUCUUUCCACCCCACCACCACUACUUCCCUGAGCUGCUGAUGGAUGCCUUGGACUCUGAACAAACCUUCUGCCCUGGGUAUCUCUUGUGCUUUCACUUUGAUUUCUCUCCUGUGAAAUGUUGGCACAUUAGAAGAACCAGAACACAUUACAGGCUCUCAUUUUCUGUGUGCUUUUAGGAAAUGUACAACCAGUUGAUAGCACUGCUAAAACGCAUGUAAUAAUGUCACAAGAACCUCUCUCCGCAGGCUGGAAUUUCUUUCCUUUGUGUUUUCAACUAAUUAUCAAAUGAAGCAGGACUCUGAAUGGCUAAAUUAGUACUGUGCUCUGCUUUGUUUUACCCUUCCUGUAAUUUAGAGGACAUA